AGAUAUAAAAACUGCGAAUGGUGUUUAUAAGCGUGCUGUGAAAAAUGUAACCGUUUUGCCUAUAUAUACUAAAGAUCAUUAGUUAUUGUUGAACUGAAUGUUCAACGGUCGGCAGAAUGUUUAAGCAUGUUGAAUGUUGCAUCUUAUUAAUUAUAUUGUUCAUGCGUCAACAACGGUCACGAGAAGACGAUGAAGCGUACGACGCAUGCGCGCGAACUUUUCUUUUGUCUAUUACUUCGCGCCUUGAGGCUGGUUGUCCAUGGCGAAGAUUGAGAGCGAACGGCGUUUAAUAGUAUUCAGUUAAGCAACAUUGUAUACAGUCCAAAGGAAUACAAACUGAGUUAUAUGAAGAAACAUGUAUUAUUUAUUUAACAUCAGUGAAGCGUUGCAUAUUUUUACGUAUACUGUAGUUGCCGUUUAUCUCUAUAUAUUUAUUAUUCUUACUGGAAUUUUACUGGAAUAAAAGUUCAAUUAUAAAUAAUUAUUUCAGAUUCUUAUAAUGAGACAAGAAAAAAAUUAGUAGACGCUGAAUUUACAUCUACUCUUGAAAGUGAUGCAGAAAUACGUAAAUAUCAGCGGACUAAGAGAAGAUUCAAAAGACCAUUUCGAUUCUAUUCAGAAUCUUCUGAAAGUGACAAUGAGGAAGCAGUGUAUGAUAAAAUUCCAUCACCUCCGAAACUUAGAUCACCCACAAAAAACAGUACUACUUCGUCCACAGUGAUCCCUCAGCGCAAAUCUCCGUCUCCGUCUAUAUUGGCUGUUACCUCUCCGAAAAGGAUAUCUAACAUAAAAAUGUAUCAUAACAAGACACUAAAAGUUAAUUCACCAAAGCAUUCAUCUAGCAAUGCAUCUGGUAUUGCAAACAAUGACAACACAGGAAUACAAAUACGGGUCAGCUUUUGGACCCGAAAAGACAAGAACGUUUCUUAACGUAUUUUCGCGCGCUGAAUUCAAAUCCGUUGUGUGUUUUUCGCUGGGUCGUCAGAUUUUUGAGAUUUAACCAAACUGUUUCGCAAGAUUUCUUACGCCAAAAUAAAAGAAGGGAUUUUUGUAGGACCUGAUAUAAGAAAAUUGAUGGAUGACGACAAGUUUACGCAAUGUUUAUCGGCCGCAGAAGCCGCAGCAUGGGCAUCAUUUAAGAGCGUCGUUUGUAAUUUCCUCGGUAAACAUAAAAGUAACAACUACAAGCAAAUUGUCGCGGAUCUAUUGCAAAAUUACAAGAGAAUUGGUGCUCGUUAAAAAUUAAUUUUCUACAUUCCCACCUUGAUUUCUUCCCGGAAAAUUUAGGUGAUACGAGUGACGAGCAGGGCGAACGGCUUCAUCAAGAUUUGCAGAGAAUCGAAAAGAAUUACCAAGGUUUUUGGGACGAGGGCAUGAUGAGCGAUUAUUGUUGGACUCUGUUACGUGAAACAGAGCCAGAACAAUACAAACGACGUUGUUACACCGCAUUACACUUCUCAAUUUUGAUUUUUUAUUAAAUAAAAUGACCAUUUAUGGUCGAAAAUAGCAAAAACAGCCAUUUCAUUUACCUCAAAAACCUGACGACCUAGGAAAAAACGGACUGCGGAUUCGGAAUCAGCGUGGAAAAUUAUCUUAGAAACACCUUUUGGUUGCUCAGGUCCAAAACCGUGUAUUCCUGUGCAAUCAGACUGCCUCAAGAAAAUAUAAUUCACCAAUGCAUUCAUCUACUUUUUCAAGCAAUUAUGAUGAGUCUUGCUUAAUUGAGUCUCCGACUUCACCUUACGUUGAAACAACAUCUCAGAGAUGCUCUUUAAGGAAAGUUAAUCCUCUGCAGACAUCAUCUAACGCUACCUCGACAACUUCAGAACAUAACAAAUCAGAUGUCUCUUACGUGAUUGUAACGAAAUUAGUGAGUUUAGAAAAAUCUACGAAUAUACUUAUUUCCAUGAUAAAACAACUCAUGGCACACUUUCGAUUAACGAAACCGAUUAGUGUGGAGAACGUCCCACAAAUUCCUAUUGACUCCCAUGAAGAUUUGGAUAAUCUUGAAAAAUUUUUGGAUGUUAAAGAAAAUUUUGAAUAUAUGGUAAAUACCUUAAGUAUAUCAGGCGGCACAACAAUUACUCAGAUAACUAGGAGGAUUAUCGCAAAAUUGAUUACAAAUAAUUAUGCUACCAAUUACAACUGGGCGGGUAGAGCACCUAAGAGAGCUUUUAAAUCUUUAAAAACGAAGAACUUGGUUGUCGCUACUGUUAAAGCCGUAGAAUCUAAUGCUGCUAUCAAUUUAAUUGAAAAUUCCAUUAAAGAUUGGUUAAAAUUAUCAUCUGUUCGUCUGACAUUAGCCGAAGCCAGAGCACUAAAGAGAAACAUUUCAACAGCAAGCAUGGAUUGAAAUUUUGUAUUUAUUAUUUAUAAUUUAUAAUUACAGUAUUAUAACUAAUCUGGUGCAAUACAUAUAACGUGAUGCAAUACAUAUAGACAUAUAAUUUUAUGCAAUUUAUAGCUUUAUGUUUAAAUAGUUUAAUGUUUACUCAUGUAAUUUGGAAAAAAUACACAUUAUUAUAUUUA